rnacentral:misc_RNA from 1 species
GUGAAUCAUCGAAUUUUUGAACGCAAAUUGCACUCUCUGGUAUUCGUGUGAGUGUUCCUGUUUGAGGGUCUGUAUAAAUAACAUUGUUGGUGUUGCUUAUGGUGACGCCUUCGAAAUUGGGUUAUCUUUAAUCUUAAUAAAUGUUUAGAGUGACCUAUAAUUGAUUAUACCUUCUGCAUCUCAU